rnacentral:rRNA from 1 species
UAGAGUUUGAUCCUGGCUCAGGAUGAACGCUGGCGGCGUGCCUAAUACAUGCAAGUCGAACGCACAGCGAAAGGUGCUUGCACCUUUCAAGUGAGUGGCGAACGGGUGAGUAACACGUGGAUAACCUACCUCAAGGUUGGGGAUAACAUUUGGAAACAGAUGCUAAUACCGAAUAAAACUUCGUAUCGCAUGAUACAAGGUUAAAAGGCGCUACGGCGUCACCUAGAGAUGGAUCCGCGGUGCAUUAGUUAGUUGGUGGGGUAAAGGCCUACCAAGACAAUGAUGCAUAGCCGAGUUGAGAGACUGAUCGGCCACAUUGGGACUGAGACACGGCCCAAACUCCUACGGGAGGCUGCAGUAGGGAAUCUUCCACAAUGGGCGAAAGCCUGAUGGAGCAACGCCGCGUGUGUGAUGAAGGCUUUCGGGUCGUAAAGCACUGUUGUAUGGGAAGAACAGCUAGGGUAGGGAAUGACUUUAGUUUGACGGUACCAUACCAGAAAGGGACGGCUAAAUACGUGCCAGCAGCCGCGGUAAUACGUAUGUCCCGAGCGUUAUCCGGAUUUAUUGGGCGUAAAGCGAGCGCAGACGGUUGAUUAAGUCUGAUGUGAAAGCCCGGAGCUCAACUCCGGAAAGGCAUUGGAAACUGGUCAACUUGAGUGCAGUAGAGGUAAGUGGAACUCCAUGUGUAGCGGUGGAAUGCGUAGAUAUAUGGAAGAACACCCAGCGGCGAAGGCGGCUUACUGGACUGUAACUGACGUUGAGGCUCGAAAGUGUGGGUAGCAAACAGGAUUAGAUACCCUGGUAGUCCACACCGUAAACGAUGAACACUAGGUGUUAGGAGGUUUCCGCCU